AGUACCCAUAUACUGUACUUUACGGAAGAGUGAACCCUUUGUGAAUUACUAAGAAGUAGCCUUCGGUAUGACAUUAGAGCUACUAUAUAAACGUAGUCGCGCGCAUCAGGGGGAUGCAACAUUGCACCUGCCACACAUCUAUACCGUCUGGUGCUCCAAUACAAAUGCACAUACUGAAGUAUAUCAAAAUUUAUCAUGCAUGUCACUUUUUCCACGCGACCAACAGAAAACACGAUUUUAUACGUGUGGACGAUGGUAUAUGUAGUAUAUCGUGCGUACGGUAAGUGUGCACAUUGCGUGUAUGUGUGUAUAUAUAUAUAUGUACGUGCUAUGUAUCUAUGUAUGUAUGUAUGUACUAUGUACGUAUAUAUGAUGUACGUUGGGUGUAUGGACGUAUAAUAUGUGCGUGUGUGUGUCGAAGAACAACGAGAGAGGACGUAUGUUUUCUGAAUGGGCGUAAUAAAUUAAUCUACGUCUUGCUGAUGUGUCCGAGGUUAACGCGUAUUGUUUCUUUUCAAUGAUUGUUACGAAAUUAUCGAUAUUCUAGAUUAGAGGCAGGGGAGGGGGUGGUGGAAACGAAUAGACGAAACGGUCUCGAAAAGGUGAUUUCAAUGAUACAUGCCAUGAAUCUAUGGCGAUAAUGUGCAAAGGUUCGUAUUCUUUUAAUGUUUCACACGAGACUUUGUAAAGGCCGAUCGUAUUGUACAUCCCGAGAACAAAUAACACGCCGAUUUUCGUAAUAAUUGAUCGCUCACCUGCUGAACUAACGAGCCUGACAAUUAACCAUUUUCGUCUACCACUUCGGCCAAUUUCGUAUUGUCGGUAAUAAACAUACUUCACGGACUAUGUAGUUUAGAGGGCAGUGUCGGGCGUGGCGCUGCUGUGUUAAAUAAAAGGGUUACUCCGUC
rnacentral:lncRNA from 1 species